GAUGAACGCUGGCGGCGUGCCUAAUACAUGCAAGUCGAGCGAACGGACGAGAAGCUUGCUUUUCUGAUGUUAGCGGCGGACGGGUGAGUAACACGCGGAUAACCUACCUAUAAGACUGGGAUAACUUCGGGAAACCGGAGCUAAUACCGGAUAAUAUUUUGAACCGCAUGGUUCAAAAGUGAAAGACGGUCUUGCUGUCACUUAUAGAUGGAUCCGCGCUGCAUUAGCUAGUUGGUAAGGUAACGGCUUACCAAGGCAACGAUGCAUAGCCGACCUGAGAGGGUGAUCGGCCACACUGGAACUGAGACACGGUCCAGACUCCUACGGGAGGCAGCAGUAGGGAAUCUUCCGCAAUGGGCGAAAGCCUGACGGAGCAACGCCGCGUGAGUGAUGAAGGUCUUCGGAUCGUAAAACUCUGUUAUUAGGGAAGAACAUAUGUGUAAGUAACUGUGCACAUCUUGGCGGUACCUAAUCAGAAAGCCACGGCUAACUACGUG
rnacentral:rRNA from 1 species